rnacentral:rRNA from 1 species
UACGAAGGGGGCUAGCGUUGCUCGGAAUCACUGGGCGUAAAGGGUGCGUAGGCGGGUCUUUAAGUCAGGGGUGAAAUCCUGGAGCUCAACUCCAGAACUGCCUUUGAUACUGAAGAUCUUGAGUUCGGGAGAGGUGAGUGGAACUGCGAGUGUAGAGGUGAAAUUCGUAGAUAUUCGCAAGAACACCAGUGGCGAAGGCGGCUCACUGGCCCGAUACUGACGCUGAGGCACGAAAGCUA